rnacentral:rRNA from 1 species
GUGAGGAAUAUUGGUCAAUGGACGGAAGUCUGAACCAGCCAUGCCGCGUGGAGGAAGAAGGUCCUAUGGGUUGUAAACUCCUUUUGUUCCGGAGUAAUAAGGUCUUUGCGAAGACCGAUGAGAGUACGGGACGAAUAAGCAUCGGCUAACUCCGUGCCAGCAGCCGCGGUAAUACGGAGGAUGCAAGCGUUAUCCGGAUUUAUUGGGUUUAAAGGGUGCGCAGGCGGCGCGUUAAGUCAGCGGUGAAAUCUCAUGGCUCAACCAUGGAACUGCCGUUGAUACUGGCGUGCUGGAGUACGGACGGCGCCGGCGGAAUGUGUCAUGUAGCGGUGAAAUGCUUAGAUAUGCCACAGAACACCGAUCGCGAAGGCAGCUGGCGAGGCCGGUACUGACGCUCAGGCACGAAAGCGUGGGGAUCAAACAGGAUUAGAAACCCUAGUAGUCC